rnacentral:rRNA from 1 species
AUCUACAGUCAUAUAACUCUGAAUGUGCCUGAUCUUGUCUGAUCUUGGAAGCUUAAGCAGAGUCCGGUCUGGUUAGUACUUGGAUGGGAGACUGCCUGCGAAUACUGGGUGCUGUAGGCC